rnacentral:rRNA from 1 species
CACUAGGAGCCGAAGAAGGACGGGACUAACACCGAUAUGCUUUGGGGAGCUGUACGUAAGCGUUGAUCCAGAGAUUUCCGAAUGGGGGAACCCACUAUCUUUAGUCGGAUAGUAUCCUUACGUGAAUACAUAGCGUGAGGAAGGCAGACCCAGGGAACUGAAACAUCUAAGUACCUGGAGGAAGAGAAAGAAAAAUCGAUUUCCUGAGUAGCGGCGAGCGAAACGGAAAGAGCCCAAACCAAGAAGCUUGCUUCUUGGGGUUGUAGGACACUCUAUACGGAGUUACAAAAGAAAGUUAUAAAUGAAGCGGUCUGGAAAGGCCCGCCAAAGACGGUAACAGCCCGGUAGUUGAAAUGGCUUUCCCUCCAGAGUGGAUCCUGAGUACGGCGGAACACGUGAAAUUCCGUCGGAAUCCGGGAGGACCAUCUCCCAAGGCUAAAUACUCCCUAGUGACCGAUAGUGAACCAGUACCGUGAGGGAAAGGUGAAAAGCACCCCGGAAGGGGAGUGAAACAGUUCCUGAAACCGUGUGCCUACAAGUAGUUAGAGCCCGUUAAUGGGUGAUAGCGUGCCUUUUGUAGAAUGAACCGGCGAGUUACGAUUUGUUGCAAGGUUAAGCGGAAAAAGCGGAGCCGUAGCGAAAGCGAGUCUGAAUAGGGCGCAUAAGUAACAGGUCGUAGACCCGAAACCAGGUGAUCUACCCAUGUCCAGGAUGAAGGUAAGGUAAUACUUACUGGAGGUCCGAACCCACGCACGUUGAAAAGUGCGGGGAUGAGGUGUGGGUAGCGGAGAAAUUCCAAUCGAACUUGGAGAUAGCUGGUUCUCUCCGAAAUAGCUUUAGGGCUAGCCUCGAGGUAAAGAGUCAUGGAGGUAGAGCACUGUUUGGACUAGGGGCCCUUCUCGGGUUACCGAAUUCAGAUAAACUCCGAAUGCCAUGUACUUAUACUCGGGAGUCAGACUGCGAGUGAUAAGAUCCGUAGUCGAAAGGGAAACAGCCCAGACCACCAGUUAAGGUCCCCAAAUAUAUGUUAAGUGGAAAAGGAUGUGGGGUUGCUUAGACAACCAGGAUGUUGGCUUAGAAGCAGCCACCAUUGAAAGAGUGCGUAAUAGCUCACUGGUCGAGUGACCCCGCGCCGAAAAUGUACCGGGGCUAAACAUAUUACC